UACAGAGGUCUCGAGCGUUAGGCGGAAUCACUGGGCUUAAAGCGUGUGUAGGUGGAUGCCUAAGUACCUUGUGAAAUCCCACGGCUUAACCGUGGAACUGCUUGGUAUACUGGGUGUCUUGAGUCACUCAGGGGCGAGCGGAACAAAUGGUGGAGCGGUGAAAGUGCGUAGAUAUCAUUUGGAACGCCAAUGGUGAAAACAGCUCGCUGGGGGUGCACUGACACUGAGACACGAAAGCCAGGGGAGCGAACGGG
rnacentral:rRNA from 1 species